AGAGUUUGAUCCUGGCUCAGGAUGAACGCUGGCGGUAUGCCUAACACAUGCAAGUCGAACGGUGUCUUCGGACACAGUGGCGGACGGGUGAGUAACGCGUGAGAAUCUGCCUCUAGGUUGGGGACAACAGUUGGAAACGACUGCUAAUACCCGAUGUGCCGUAAGGUAAAAGAUUUAUUGCCUGGAGAGGAGCUCGCGUCUGAUUAGCUAGUUGGUGGGGUAAAAGCCUACCAAGGCAGCGAUCAGUAGCUGGUCUGAGAGGAUGAGCAGCCACACUGGGACUGAGACACGGCCCAGACUCCUACGGGAGGCAGCAGUGGGGAAUUUUCCGCAAUGGGCGAAAGCCUGACGGAGCAAUACCGCGUGAGGGAGGAAGGCCUUUGGGUUGUAAACCUCUUUUCUCAGGGAAGAAGAUCUGACGGUACCUGAGGAAUAAGCAUCGGCUAACUCCGUGCCAGCAGCCGCGGUAAUACGGAGGAUGCAAGCGUUAUCCGGAAUCAUUGGGCGUAAAGCGUCCGCAGGUGGUUUUUCAAGUCUGCUGUUAAAGACUGGAGCUCAACUCCGGAAAGGCAGUGGAAACUGAGAAACUAGAGUUCGGUAGGGGUAGCGGGAAUUCCCAGUGUAGCCGUGAAAUGCGUAGAUAUUGGGAAGAACAUCGGUGGCGAAGGCGCGCUACUGGACCGAAACUGACACUCAGGGACGAAAGCUAGGGGAGCGAAAGGGAUUAGAUACCCCUGUAGUCCUAGCUGUAAACGAUGGAAACUAGGUGUGGCUUGUAUCGACCCGAGCCGUGCCGUAGCUAACGCGUUAAGUUUCCCGCCUGGGGAGUACGCACGCAAGUGUGAAACUCAAAGGAAUUGACGGGGGCCCGCACAAGCGGUGGAGUAUGUGGUUUAAUUCGAUGCAACGCGAAGAACCUUACCUGGAUUUGACAUCCCGGGAAUCCUAUCGAGAGACUGGAGUGCCCUUCGGGGAGCCCGGAGACAGGUGCUGCAUGGCUGUCGUCAGCUCGUGUCGUGAGAUUUUGGGUUAAGUCCCGCAACGAGCGCAACCCUUGUCUUUAGUUACCAUCAUUCAGUUGGGGACUCUAAAGAUACUGCCCCGGUCAACGGGGAGGAAGGUGGGGAUGACGUCAAGUCCUCAUGGCCUUUAUGUCCAGGGCUACACACGUGCUACAAUGGGCUGUACAAAGGGUCGCGAACCCGCGAGGGUAAGCCAAUCCCAAAAAGCAGUCCCAAGUUCGGAUUGGAGUCUGCAACUCGACUCCAUGAAGCUGGAAUCGCUAGUAAUCGCGGAUCAGCAUGCCGCGGUGAAUACGUUCCCGGGCCUUGUACACACCGCCCGUCACACCAUGAGAGUUGGUUGUACCAGAAGUCGUCGGGCUAACCUUUUUAAGGAUGCAGGCGCCUAAGGUAUGGCUGAUAAUUAGGGUGAAGUCGUAACAAGGUA
rnacentral:rRNA from 1 species